GAUGAAGAAUGUAGCGAAAUGCGAUAAGUAAUGUGAAUUGCAGAAUUCCGUGAAUCAUCGAAUCUUUGAACGCACAUUGCGCCCUCUGGUAUUCCGGGGGGCAUGCCUGUCCGAGCGUCAUUUGCAACCCUCAAGCCCGGCUUGUGUGAUGGGUGCCGUCCCCUACGGGACGCGCCCCGAAGGCAAUGGCGGCGUCGCGGUUAUCCGAUCAGCCAAAGUGUAUGGGGCUUUGUCACUCACUUUACGGCCCGGACCGGCGCCAGUCCGAAUCAAUCUUUUUUCUAAAGUUGACCUCGGAUCAGGUAGGGAUACCCGCUGAACUUAAGCAUAUCAAUAAGCGGAGGA
rnacentral:misc_RNA from 1 species